rnacentral:rRNA from 1 species
CCUACGGGUGGCAGCAGUGGGGAAUAUUGCGCAAUGGGCGAAAGCCUGACGCAGCGACGCCGCGUGAGGGAUGAAGGUCUUCGGAUCGUAAACCUCUGUCAGCAGGGAAGAACGGUCACUUUGCUAAUCAGCAGUGAAUUGACGGUACCUGCAAAGGAAGCAUCGGCUCACUCCGUGCCAGCAGCCGCGGUAAUACGGAGGGUGCGAGCGUUAAUCGGAAUUACUGGGCGUAAAGCGCUCGUAGGCGGUAUGUCAAGUCAAGGGUGAAAUCCCCGCGCUCAACGUGGGAACUGCCUUGGAAACUGGCAAACUGGAGUGUGUGAGAGGAUAGUGGAAUUCCAGGUGUAGGAGUGAAAUCCGUAGAUAUCUGGAGGAACAUCAGUGGCGAAGGCGACUAGCUGGAACAUAACUGACGCUGAGGAGCGAAAGCGUGGGUAGCAAACAGGAUUAGAUACCCCUGUAGUC